ACAAUGUAAAUUGCGGCACAGAACACAAUCAGGGGGAUGCUAAAGGUACUGCAGAUCAUUGCCUGCAUACAUACAUACGCACAUACAUUGCACUUAAUUGCGAAAAUAAAACGAGGCACACAAGCGGAGAAGUUGUCAUCGACGUUGUGCGUUGUGGUAGUGGUGCAGCGCUUUCUGGGGAAUCACAGGUGCCAAAGAUCAGAUCGUCAAUACUAUAAAGAGCAUGUAAACAAAUUGCUGGCAAUAUUUGGAAGAGCGUGCUCACAAGCAUACAUACAUACAUAUAGCUUCCGCACAGUGGCAUUGUAGGCAUGAAGUACAAUUAAACGUCGCAUUUUAUAACGUUGAUGUCAGAGGUUAAAAAUAUUUCGAGUGAAAUGCGGAAAUGCUUUUUGGGAAUUUAUUGUGAAUUCACAAUAUUCAUUUGAGUAAUUUUUUCUUGAAAAAAGGAUGGCUCUAAUCUACAAAUAUAGCCACAAGACUGAAUUGAAUUAGUAGUCAACAAUGCCCGGGAUUCAUCAUAAUAAAAUAGUCUCACGCAAGAAGCAACUUAUAGGUUUUGAUAGGUACGAAGGUUGCAUUUAAUAUUUCGGAUUUAGAGAACAAAAAAAUAUUAAUCAACGAAAUUCGUUUAAAGCAAUUGUCGAAGCACUUUUGGCACUCUGAUUGAGGUUAUCUUCAAAACAGGCGUUCUGAAUGCAAGAACGUUGACCUCUUAGUUUAUUUUCUACGUACUGGUAUAAAAAGAAGUCAUUCGAUGCCAAUUGUGGAGUAAACAAUGGAUGACCCACUGUUUUGAGCGCUCAAAAAUGCUGUGGUUUCAGUUGUGAGAGCUCGCGUUGUCGUGGUGAAGUUGGUUUUCUUGAUUUCUUGAUUUCUUAAAAAACUGUCGUUUCUUGAAAAAAAAAAAACAAAUGGUAGUGCACCACUCAGAAUUUACUGUUUGCGUUGUUUUAGUCUAGUUUAGGCGAGGUGUCCGGUUUUUACAAAAAAUCCCUGCAACCAUUUCCUUGGAAGUGUUCGUGAGCGAACAACUUUUGUUGGAUGCGACUCAUUUUGAAACCAUACAAUUACAGUCGAUUCUCGGACUCAUAAGCGUAAGUCCAGGAUUCAUCACCAAUGACGUGUUUCGAAACACUGCUAUCGUAUUUUUUUGCCAAGAUGAAUAUUUUAAAUUACUGUAAAGAACUCAAAAACGCUAUGGUAUUUUUCGGCUAAGUUGUAUAAUUUAAUUUACUGUAAAGAACAGCAUGAAUAACAACAAAAAUGGCAAACUAUGCGAAAAGUUGCAGAUGCUACAAUAAAGUCGAGAUUGCAACAUUAGGGUCACCAAAACCCGAAAUAUGAAAGGCAACCCACGUAUAUGUGCUUAUAUCGAAACUAAGAGAAGCUGUGUAUAGAAAUAUUAAAGCCCCAAGCAUAUUUCUGACAUAAAAAACCUCCUAUACAGCUACAUACAAGCUCUAACAGUUAACCUAAGGAUUACGCCUCGGAGCUCUAAUUAUCGUAUGACAUGGUUAUUGAAGGGAUACACCUCGCAUUGUAGAAAUAAUCAGUUUAUGGAUAAAAAAAAUCUUAAAUGCGAAUAAAUGUUUAUUACGUAGAAGCCUUGAACCGUAGUUACGUUCUCAGAAUUUUGCAAGGGUCUCUGCCUUAUCUUAGUAGUAAAACGUCGAAAGGUUGACACAUGAUUGUGCAUUCCCCAAGUCACUAAUGAUUGUUAAUGAAAUUAUUAUUACUGUUGUGCAUAUAUUAUAUGUAUAAUGCAAUGUUGUACAUACAUACAACAUACAAACAUACAGUUUUCAUUGACUUAUCACUUUGUGCGCGCCUUUGUGCUAUACAUACAUAAGUAUAUUACAAGCCUACGAAUUGCUUUGGUAGUAAAGUAUAAGUAAUAGCAUAUGUGAGGCAGCCGCUUUAAUAUGUAAAUAUUUUGUUGAUUACGGGGGUUUUCUAAGUAAAUACAUACAUAUAUACAUACUACA